GGGUUGUGAGGUUAAGCGACUAAGCGUACACGGUGGAUGCCCUGGCAGUCAGAGGCGAUGAAGGGCGUGCUAAUCUGCGAUAAGCGCCGGUAAGGUGAUAUGAACCGUUAUAACCGGCGAUACCCGAAUGGGGAAACCCAGUGUGACUCGUCACACUAUCAUUAACUGAAUCCAUAGGUUAAUGAGGCGAACCGGGGGAACUGAAACAUCUAAGUACCCCGAGGAAAAGAAAUCAACCGAGAUUCCCCCAGUAGCGGCGAGCGAACGGGGAGGAGCCCAGAGCCUGAAUCAGCAUGUGUGUUAGUGGAAGCGUCUGGAAAGGCGCGCGAUACAGGGUGACAGCCCCGUACACAAAAGCGCAUGUGCUGUGAGCUCGAUGAGUAGGGCGGGACACGUGGUAUCCUGUCUGAAUAUGGGGGGACCAUCCUCCAAGGCUAAAUACUCCUGACUGACCGAUAGUGAACCAGUACCGUGAGGGAAAGGCGAAAAGAACCCCGGCGAGGGGAGUGAAAAAGAACCUGAAACCGUGUACGUACAAGCAGUGGGAGCACAGGUUUACCUGUGUGACUGCGUACCUUUUGUAUAAUGGGUCAGCGACUUAUAUUCUGUAGCAAGGUUAACCGAAUAGGGGAGCCGGAGGGAAACCGAGUCUUAAUUGGGCGUUAAGUUGCAGGGUAUAGACCCGAAACCCGGUGAUCUAGCCAUGGGCAGGUUGAAGGUUGGGUAACACUAACUGGAGGACCGAACCGACUAAUGUUGAAAAAUUAGCGGAUGACCUGUGGCUGGGGGUGAAAGGCCAAUCAAACCGGGAGAUAGCUGGUUCUCCCCGAAAGCUAUUUAGGUAGCGCCUCGUGAAUUCAUCUCCGGGGGUAGAGCACUGUUUCGGCUAGGGGGCCAUCCCGGCUUACCAACCCGAUGCAAACUGCGAAUACCGGAGAAUGUUAUCACGGGAGACACACGGCGGGUGCUAACGUCCGUCGUGAAGAGGGAAACAACCCAGACCGCCAGCUAAGGUCCCAAAGUCAUGGUUAAGUGGGAAACGAUGUGGGAAGGCCCAGACAGCCAGGAUGUUGGCUUAGAAGCAGCCAUCAUUUAAAGAAAGCGUAAUAGCUCACUGGUCGAGUCGGCCUGCGCGGAAGAUGUAACGGGGCUAAACCAUGCACCGAAGCUGCGGCAGCGACACUGUGUGUUGUUGGGUAGGGGAGCGUUCUGUAAGCCUGUGAAGGUGGCCUGUGAGGGUUGCUGGAGGUAUCAGAAGUGCGAAUGCUGACAUAAGUAAC
rnacentral:rRNA from 1 species